GAUUACGGUGAUUACAGUGCAAACUGUAUGGAUAUUUAUGAAUCUUUCGCGGAGGGUAAAUGUCUUGAGGAUGUCUUCAUGCAGUGUUUCAUAGAGUGUGUUCGUGAUGAUUCUAAAAAUCAUCGUCGAACUCUGACAUCUAACAGAUUAAUACUUGAUGUCAACGUUGGGGCUCUGUUAAAUUUUGAAGAACAGGAACGUCACAGCAAGAAUCCUCAGCCGUUUGAUCAAAAUGUCCUACAGAAUUGCUUGCACAACACAUUGCCUGCUUUGGUGAAUCUGGAUAAAUGCAAGUCGAUAAUGGUACCUAUGCUUAGCAGGGGUCAUUGGACAC